rnacentral:rRNA from 1 species
UGGGGAAUAUUGCACAAUGGGCGCAAGCCUGAUGCAGCAACGCCGCGUGAACGAUGAAGGUCUUCGGAUCGUAAAGUUCUGUUGCAGGGGAAGAUAAUGACGGUACCCUGUGAGGAAGCCCCGGCUAACUACGUGCCAGCAGCCGCAGUAAUACGUAGGGGGCUAGCGUUAUCCGGAUUUACUGGGCGUAAAGGGUGCGUAGGUGGUCUUUCAAGUCGGUGGUUAAAGGCUACGGCUCAACCGUAGUUAGCCUCCGAAACUGGAAGACUUGAGUGCAGGAGAGGAAAGUGGAAUUCCCAGUGUAGCGGUGAAAUGCGUAGAUAUUGGGAGGAACACCAGUAGCGAAGGCGGCUUUCUGGACUGCAACUGACACUGAGGCACGAAAGCGUGGGUAGCAAACAGG